rnacentral:rRNA from 1 species
GCCUAACCUAACACACAAUAAAUAACUAAUUGUUCGCCAAACAACUACGAGUAAAAACUUAAAACUUAAAAGACUUGACGGUACUUCACAUCCCCCUAGAGGAGCCUGUCUAAUAACCGAUACUCCACGAUUACCCCAACCCGCUCUAGCCAUACAGUCUAUAUACCGCCAUCGCCAGCUUACCUUGUGAAAGAAACAAAGUAAACACAACAGCCACCACUAACACGAUAGGUCGAGGUGUAACUAAUGAGCGGGUAAAAGAUGGGCUACAUUUUCUAACACAGAAAACACGAAUAAAUCUACGAAAAUAGAAGCCGAAGGCGGAUUUAGCAGUAUGUUAAGAACAAAAUGCUUAGCCGAAAUAAACGCAAUGAAGUGCGUACACACCGCCCGUCAUCCCUGCCAAAAACAAUAAAAAUUCAUAAACACAAGAAACUGACUAAACAGGGCAAGUCGUAACAUGGUAAGCGUACUGGAAAGUGCGCUUAGAAA